rnacentral:rRNA from 1 species
ACGAACGCUGGCGGCAGGCUUAACACAUGCAAGUCGAGCGCAAUACUAUCUUCGGAUAGUGGAGAGCGGCGGACGGGUGAGUAACGCGUGGGAACCUACCCUUUGGUUCGGAAUAACUUUGGGAAACCGAAGCUAAUACCGGAUACGCCCCGUAAGGGGGAAAGAUUUAUUGCCGAAGGAUGGGCCCGCGUUGGAUUAGGUAGUUGGUAGGGUAAUGGCCUACCAAGCCUACGAUCCAUAGCUGUUCUGAGAGGAAGAUCAGCCACACUGGGACUGAGACACGGCCCAGACUCCUACGGGAGGCAGCAGUGGGGAAUCUUGGACAAUGGGGGAAACCCUGAUCCAGCCAUGCCGCGUGAGUGAUGAAGGCCCUAGGGUUGUAAAGCUCUUGCGACGGGGACGAUAAUGACGGUACCCGUAGAAGAAGCCCCGGCUAACUUCGU